GACGAACCGUGCGAACGUUGUUCGGAAUCACUGGGCUUAAAGGGCGCGUAGGCGGGCCAUCAAGUCCGGGGUGAAAUCUUUCGGCUUAACCGGAAAAUUGCCUUGGAUACUGGUGGUCUUGAGGGAAGUAGGGGUCUGCGGAACUUCCGGUGGAGCGGUGAAAUGUGUUGAUAUCGGAAGGAACGCCGGUGGCGAAAGCGGCGGACUGGGCUUCUUCUGACGCUGAGGCGCGAAAGCUAGGGGAGCAAACGGG
rnacentral:rRNA from 2 species